GAUGAACGCUGGCGGCGUGCUUAACACAUGCAAGUCGAACGGAAAGGCUCCUGCUUGCAGGGGUACUCGAGUGGCGAACGGGUGAGUAACACGUGGGUGAUCUGCCCUGCACUUCGGGAUAAGCCUGGGAAACUGGGUCUAAUACCGGAUAGGACGAUGGUUUGGAUGCCAUUGUGGAAAGUUUUUUCGGUGUGGGAUGAGCUCGCGGCCUAUCAGCUUGUUGGUGGGGUAAUGGCCUACCAAGGCGUCGACGGGUAGCCGGCCUGAGAGGGUGUACGGCCACAUUGAGACUGAGAUACGGCCCAGACUCCUACGGGAGGCAGCAGUGGGGAAUAUUGCACAAUGGGCGCAAGCCUGAUGCAGCGACGCCGCGUGGGGGAUGACGGCCUUCGGGUUGUAAACUCCUUUCGCUAGGGACGAAGCGCAAGUGACGGUACCUGGAGAAGAAGCACCGGCUAACUACGUG
rnacentral:rRNA from 1 species